AAAACAUGUAUUCAAAGGCGCCAGGGCCGGUUGGAGAGAGUACAGAGACCAGUGCAAAUUGGAAAAGGAAGCAAGAUACCAGAAAGAAAAGGAGAAUCAGCAGAAUCAGGUGCCGCCAAAUUAGAAGCAGGGUUAACAUGGACGACCUGGAGAUCUGACGAAAGAUUCAAUGUUUGCUUCAACGUAAACACUGCAACAGUCUUGCUGACUGCGGGAUUUCUAAGCUCAUAAUAAUUUACCUUUUUGCUUUUGCUUGAGCCUAAAAUAAUUAGAAACAAAGAAAAUAAAUUUUAUUUCAAGUGCUAUAAUCUUAAAGGAUCUAGUUGUGGUUUUUCAGAAUUGUAGAAUGAAAUACUAGUAGCUUUCUGUGAAUAAAAUACAUAAGUAAACUUUCUCUUAUUUACUUUUUUAACCAACAAUAUGAUUGGAUUCCAACCAUUUCAAUGGAAACAAGCUGGUAAAGUUUCAUCUUGAUGUUUGGUGUUCAUUUGACUUUUUAAAAUGUUUCAAAUGUUUCU